CAUCCAAGCAAUUGCAUGUUUCGAUAGUUUCUUCUUUUGUAUUGACCUUUUAUCAUUCUUUUUUAUUUUUCCAUUCCAUUGUAUGGAUGUACCAGCAGUUUGUUUAUCUAUUUACCUGUUGAAGGACAUUUGGAGUCUUUCUCGUUUUUGGUGAUUACGCUUCUAUCAACUUUUCUGUUCAAGUUGUUGUGUGAACGUAAAAGAUCCUGCUUCAUUUGGAUGGCAACCAAGUCAGCCAUAUGGGAAGGAAAAUAAUCUAGUGAGUUGCAAAAUAAGAAAUCAUGGUCCAUGUGUUCCGUUGGAUGGCUUUCUUUGGGAUAUAAGCUCAAUGUGAAGUGGACUGUUGGUCAUCUGACAAAGGCAUAUUUUUGGCCCCAGUUAUCCAGUUAUAUGUCCACACUGGUAAUAUUAACCAAGGAAUUAUCUUUAUGUUGCGUAGACCUGAGUAAAAAAUACUUUAGGGCUGGCACCAUGGCUGAGCAGGUAAGUUUGCGAGCUCUGCUUUGGGGUAGCCGAGGUUUUUGCCAGUUCGGAUCCUGGGCGCGGACACAGCACCGCUCAUCAGGCCACGCUGAGGGGUUAGGCCAUGCUGAGGGGGCAUCCCACAUAACAUGACCAGAAGGACCUACAACUAGAAUAUACAACUAUGUACUGGGGGGCUUUGAGGAGAAGAAGAAGAAAAAAGAAAGAAGAUUGGCAACAGAUGUUAGCUCAGGUGCCAAUCUUAAAAAAACCCCAAAAAACCCCUUUAAAACGUGCCACAAAGCGUCCUUGCUGUUCUGUCGAUAUAGGGAAAUUUAUUCUAGGAAUGCAAAUAUCAUAAAUAUGGAAGAUCUCACAAUUGUAACAAAAAGAGGUUUCUUUGAAUCCACUUCAGUGAGUCUAACGUUUGAAUUGGAAAAGAGCAGAGACAGGAGAGAUGAAGUGACAUUCCCCCAAAGGCACAUUCCAGGAUGAUAUUUUAACGCAGCCUGUCAUCUUCUGCCCUCCCUUUCCUCCCAGUUUUUGCAUUCUCUCUCUUUUUUCUGUCUUUUCUCUUUCCCCCUCCUCUCUUUUCCCUGUCUUUAGAAACCCUUUAGAAGUCAGGGCAUAGCUAGGGUGCUGUGACAAUGGUGGGAAAGAGAGAAGAGAGGCACUGUUUCUAUUCAAACCCUUUAUAUCUUUUCUCAUCUUCUCUUCUAGCAAGCACGACAGGUUAACUAUGGAGAAGAUACACCAGUACUCACACACACACACUCACACACACACAGACCCCACUUUAUUCUGUGCCAGAGCAGAGCUCCUGAAAACUGCUGCCAAGUGGCAGCCACCCAAGAGACUGCUGAAUUUCUGGCACUGGGCAGAAUCGAUGGCUGAGGCCAAGUGAUUGUUGCUGAACUCACCUGUGUCGAAAGGUCAGCCUUGCGGUGCUAAGGCUGGGCACAGGCACUCGAGGCAAAUUGGAUUGUGAAUGGAGGCCCUGAGGCAUGUUCUGCACUUUGCAACUGGUCUGGCAGGCUCCUCCACCUCCUGAGUCUGCCACAGGCAUGGGAAACACCUGGGCAGCGACAAAGGCAGAAAACUCCUAGCUUGUUUGGAAAUGUUGCUACUGAAGAAUCCAGUGUAGACAAAUAGGACAUCCCUUUGUUCUGCGAAGGAUGAGUUGGCAACAAGUGGGCCCUCCAAGGCCUUCAGGCACGGUGAGAUUUGGAGUUUCCCCCAUUGGAGGAACCAGUUGGGUCUGCUUGGCUCCCUUAUAAAAAUUUCUUGAAUGUAUUGCUUGUGUCUUGUGAGUAUUCAUGGCUUUGUUUGCUCUGUCUUUUGAAUAAUAUUUACAGCUUUUUAGCCAUGGCCUUAAAAAUAAUCUUAACCUUAUUAUUCAAAUAGAUGUCUCAUCAUGCUGAAUAACACAUGACCGACACAUGCUAAGAAUAAAGUGAAUGGUACCAUGAAAUCUUCCACCCACGUAACUGGAAAUGCAUGGAAUGCAAAACUGGAUCUCAGCUGCAAUGCUGUCUGCAGAGAUGGCUCUUCACGUUGGUGGAGGAAGCCACCUACUCAUCAUUCAUUAGAGAGGUCUGGAAAGGUUUUGGGAUUGAGGAGAAUCUUACUUACGAAGACAUACCUGAGGAUGUUGUGCCUGAGGAGCUUUACUCACACUUGGAUCUGAUUUAGCUGGUGAGAUCCUGGACCUCUAGCCCAAGCAUAAUGCCCUAAUAAGAUGAAACUGGGGAGUGCUUUGGGGAAGAGAGCCCUAGUGUUGAACAAGUAACUGUGAAUGGCCGGAACGAAUACAUACCAGGUCUGGGACAGUGUUUAUUGGGAGAAAACUUACAGGAGCAGAAACAGGUGUGGCUCCCAUGCUGAUCAUUGUCUUCUGAGGCAGUGCACCAGGAUCAAUAUGGGCCAGAUGUCAGACUUCUAGAGAGGGAAACCAGCCUUUGAGUAUUGAAUUUAAAUGACAACCUUGUGCCUGGACUGAGGAGGCCAGAGCUUCUCUUGUUCAAUCACCCUUGAGCAGUGGUUUUCAAACAUUAGCAUACGUCAGAAUCACCUGGAAGGCUUGCUAAACCACAGGUAACUGGGCCUCAUCUCUGGAGCUUCUGAUUCAGUAGGUCUGGGGUGAGGCUGGAGAACAUACAUUCCAAACAGGUUCCCAGAUCUGGGGGCUGGGGACCACCAUUGAAGAAAC
ensembl:lncRNA